UACGUAGGGUGCGAGCGUUAAUCGGAAUUACUGGGCGUAAAGCGUGCGUAGACGGUUAUUUAAGUCGGGUGUGAAAGCCCCGGGCUCAACCUGGGAAUUGCAUUCGAGUCUGAAUAGCUAGGGUACGGUAGAGGGAAGUGGAAUUUCCGGUGUAGCGGUGAAAUGCGUAGAUAUCGGAAGGAACAUCAGUGGCGAAAGCGACUUCCUGGACCAGUACCGACGUUCAGGCACGAAAGCGUGGGGAGCAAACAGG
rnacentral:rRNA from 1 species